rnacentral:lncRNA from 1 species
UAACCCAAAAAAGAGACCGCAAAUUUCGGAAUGCAACAGCAGUUGACCACAAUCACACCUCGAAAAGCCAUAUUUUUUACGGAUUGAGUACCCAAAAAUCUAGAAAUCUAUUCUUGACCUCCUAAAUCAAGAUCCUAAAGGAAAAAAUAUGGAAUGGAUUGAGUACCCAAAAAUCUAGAAAUCUAUUCUUGACCUCCUAAAUCAAGAUCCUAAAGGAAAAAAUAUGGAAUUGGAGCCCCAAAAUGCUCCAUCCUGACUGCUCUCUUAACAUCUGAUGUGGACCAUGUAUUUCAGGAUCUUGACUGAGCCAUCUAUUUCAACAUGUGAUGGAUUUUGAGGUGCAGUUGUAGUCUCCUGGACUUCAACCGCAGUUGUACAGGCACCUGACAAAAAAAGAUAAUGCAGUUGCAGUCCAGAUUGCCCCUUUUUUGUAAAUGAACCAAACAAAUUGAGGUUGAUUUUAGGGACUUACAUAUCAUCAACAUAUGGAAAGUGCUUACGCAUACUAAGGCAGUAAUGAGACCAGGCUUGUCCUCUUAAGAGGCAAGGGGACAAGACAAGCUUCUUGAGUUCAUUGUUAAUUCCAGGGGAACACUCGGGGAGCCUCAUUUAGAGUACCAUCGACCAAGGGUUUUGUUAUAAGAUACAGACAUAAUGAAUUUCACUCUUUAUGGAUAUGUUUCUAUUUCACAGGGAAGUAGCUUCCAGCCUUUCAAGUCUAAGGAACCCUGCUGUUGUUUGCCCAAAUCGAGUUCCAGAAUCUUAUUUAUUUUCACCAGGGUUAGGGACCAAAUUUUUUAAGCAUUUGAAAUCUGAAUUUUCC